CAGACUGGUAAUUCAACAGGUAGAAUACUCGCUUUGGGUGUGAGAGGUUGCUGGUUCGAGUCCGGCUCGUCUGA
rnacentral:tRNA from 1 species